CAUCCUUUCUCUUUGCAUUGGCUUCUCGUACCUUGUCUUUCUCUGCUUCCUAGUAACUCUCUCUCUCUAAUGGCGGAGACACAAUCAAAGCGCCUCAGAGAUGACGCUCAAAUAGAAGAUGUCGUUGUUGAUGAAAUUAAUAAGCGCCACAAGUCAUAUAACCACAUACUCUCUCUUCUUGAUGAAGAAGAAGAUGAGCCACCCCAAGAUAUCUCUUCUUUCAUCACUACCCUUCAGCAAGAACUCUCCCCUGCUUCUACCUUUGACGACCCCUUUUCUUGUUCAACCACAGCAAUUGACCAAGAAAACCCUACUACCGCCGUAACAACCACCGUAGAAGGCUACCUAUCUUCAUCUUCGUCUUCUUCUACCUUCUUGAAGGAGGGUGAGGAAGAUGAUAAGGAAAGAGUUAUAAGGCACCUUCUUGAAGCAUCUGAUGACGAGCUUGGGAUUCCAAACACCCAAGCUGUUAGUGGUGUUGGAGAUGGCUAUGCAGAAGAUCUUGUUAAUAGUGGAAAUGGGUUCAAUGGGUUAGAUGGAUUCUCCCUCUGCGAUGGCUUGUGGGAGCUCGAAGACGCUAACGCUAACUACUAUGCCUUGUUGCAAUCUGAACUCUUCCUGUAGCUAGCCGGAGGACUAUGGGGGGCGUAGAAGGAAAAACAAAAGAAAUAGGAAGGGUUCAAAAGAGUAAAACAGAAAGUGGGUGGGAGAAAAUAUAAAAUGGAAACUAUUUCGGGGUUUUCAUUUUUGCCCUCUUUUUUUUUACCCUUUUUGUGAAAAUUAUUUAGUUCCUCCUUGGCCCAUCUCUAAUUUCUAAUUUAAAAAGAUUAAAAUGUGGAAAACAAAAAUAUUAAUCACUACAUAUUCUUUGUUUUUUUAAUUUUUUUUCUUAUUUUUUUCUCCUUAUUGUUAUUGAUGUGGACAAGAAGUUUAUCUUAGCUCAAGGGCUACUCCAAAAUGGAGAACAGGAUCCCUUCCCAUAAGUACGGGAAAAUAUUAACCUCAUCUGGUGAAAGUAAUUGGAUUUUUUUUGGUUUAAAUUUAAUUUAUUAUGAAUUAAAUUUUUUUAAAAUAUCUGAUAAAAAAUAAUAUUUAUUAUUUAAUUUUUAAAAAAAU
rnacentral:misc_RNA from 1 species